UGGUUUUUUUCACAGAUUGUAUGAAACUGGGGGAAAAAAUUAAAAAAGGUAUUAAAAAUCUCAAAUUUUUACAUGGGCAUACUAAAGAUUGUGUUUUUUUUAGAUUUACAAGUAAAAAUUUCUGUGGGGUUGCAAUAAUUUACAAGAAUAUGUGAUAAAUUUAGGAGUUCUUUUUCCAGAUUGAAUGAAACUGGGAAAAAAAAACUAAUCAAGAA
rnacentral:misc_RNA from 1 species